AUUGAACGCUGGCGGCAGGCCUAACACAUGCAAGUCGAACGGUAACAGGAAGCAGCUUGCUGCUUUGCUGACGAGUGGCGGACGGGUGAGUCAUGUCUGGGAAACUGCCUGAUGGAGGGGGAUAACUACUGGAAACGGUAGCUAAUACCGCAUAACGUCGCAAGACCAAAGAGGGGGACCUUAGGGCCUCUUGCCAUCGGCUGUGCCCAGAUGGGAUUAGCUAGUAGGUGGGGUAACGGCUCACCUAGGCGACGAUCCCUAGCUGGUCUGAGAGGAUAACCAGCCACACUGGAACUGAGACACGGUCCAGACUCCUACGGGAGGCAGCAGUGGGGAAUAUUGCACAAUGGGCGCAAGCCUGAUGCAGCCAUGCCGCGUGUAUGAAGAAGGCCUUCGGGUUGUAAAGUACUUUCAGCGGGGAGGAAGGGAGUAAAGUUAAUACCUUUGCUCAUUGACGUUACCCGCAGAAGAAGCACCGGCUAACUCCGUG
rnacentral:rRNA from 1 species